GACGAACGCUGGCGGCGUGCUUAACACAUGCAAGUCGAACGAUGAAGGAAGAAGCUUGCUUCUUCUGGAUUAGUGGCGAACGGGUGAGUAACACGUGAGCAAUCUGCCCUUGACUCUGGGAUAAGCGUUGGAAACGACGUCUAAUACCGGAUACGACCCUCGGAGGCAUCUCCUGGGGGUGGAAAGAAUUUUGGUCAAGGAUGAGCUCGCGGCCUAUCAGCUAGUUGGUGAGGUAAUGGCUCACCAAGGCGACGACGGGUAGCCGGCCUGAGAGGGUGACCGGCCACACUGGGACUGAGACACGGCCCAGACUCCUACGGGAGGCAG
rnacentral:rRNA from 1 species